UCCAUCUGAUUUGUCAUGUCUGUUUCAUAUUUUCUUCUCAUUAAAACCUUUAAAUAAAUUACUGAAGUAACAUCAAUAAUUGAAGUGUUCCCCUAACAGAAACAUAUCUAGGUUAGCGUUUGCACAUACUCAUACAUUAUGAAAUGGGAAGAUACAGUUACAGAACAUCAUUGCACACCAUUAUCAGCCAGAGCAACCACAUGGGACUCAUAUUUCGUGCUCUUGUUUCACUUUCAGUGACUCAGGGCCUCUCACUUUCAUGCCUUUAAACAAUCAGUCCUGUAGGCUCAGACAAAACAGACUUGAAUGAAAAUACACAGAAAAUGAACCAGUGUGGACUUCAUUAGGGAUACAGUGAUGAUGUGUUCAUGGAAAGUUAUGCAACUGUUUUGUUUUUCAGCUUCAUGGAUUUUUCUGGAACUGACACAAUCUGGACUCGCCUCAGAAUCAUCUGAAGGGAGUGCAGACCUCCCCUUCGGUGAAGCGACAGACACAGAUAGAUGUCCUGAGGGAAAAUACUUCUCCCACAAGCUCUGUUUGGAAUGUCCCUCUGGUCAUUUUUGUCCUGGCAAUGUAUCUGCACCUCAUAGAUGUCCAGCAGGAACAUUCAACCUCUACACGGAGAAAAGUGGUAUCAGUGACUGUAAGCCUUGUUUUCCAGGUCUAAUCAGUUCAGUGGACAGAGUGGACUGUAGGCUGUGUCCUGCAGGUUUCUCAUGUGAUCCAUUCAAUGGGACACUUUAUUUAUGCCCCCCGGGACAACAUUCUCCUGAGGGGGUCCUACAGUGUCUGACAUGCCCUGUAGAUUCUGUCUGCACAUCUGG